GAGGACCCCAAUAAAGUCUCGCGCACGUUUCUUUUCUCGUUCUCUUCGUCUCUGGUGCUUAGUGUACUAAAGGAGGUUUGCUGAUAUGGACCUCGGAUGCAGACGUGUUGAAAAUGGCUUUACUGAUUGGUCUGAAGAUGGAACCUAGAUGUUUUUCUUACCUGUGGUUUGAAAUCUACUACAUGAAUCAUCCACUAAUCUAGUCGGUUCCUAGUUACCACAUGAAGUGAGCUCCUGUGAAUCCUGAUGGAGAUUGGUGUCUAGAACCUGCUGAGCUUUCACCAGGAUGGACCCCUUUGCACCCGGAGUGCAAAAGCUUUUCAUUCAGACUUGUGCAUCAGUGGGGCGAGGAUGAGAGACGUGCUGUUCAUUUUAUUCAUGAUUCUUUAAAAAAUAAUAAUGCCAAGUUGGUGUUGAUGCAAAUAAAGCUUUAAAAUGUU